rnacentral:rRNA from 1 species
UUGGGUGCAAUUUGGCACGCAGUAUCGAAGCUAACGCGUUAAGUUCGCCGCCUGGGGAGUACGGUCGCAAGACUGAAACUCAAAGGAAUUGACGGGGGCCCGCACAAGCGGUGGAGUAUGUGGUUUAAUUCGAUGCAACGCGAAGAACCUUACCUGGCCUUGACAUGUCGAGAACUUUCCAGAGAUGGAUUGGUGCCUUCGGGAACUCGAACACAGGUGCUGCAUGGCUGUCGUCAGCUCGUGUCGUGAGAUGUUGGGUUAAGUCCCGCAACGAGCGCA